GCCCCGGUGGGUGUAGUGGUUAUCAUACCGCGAACUAGUAUUCUCGGGAAGACGUGGGUUUCGAAUCCUGCUUAGGGUA